rnacentral:rRNA from 1 species
GACGAACGCUGGCGGCGUGCUUAACACAUGCAAGUCGAACGGUAAGGCCCUUCGGGGUACACGAGUGGCGAACGGGUGAGUAACACGUGGGUGAUCUGCCCUGCACUUCGGGAUAAGCCUGGGAAACUGGGUCUAAUACCGGAUAGGACCACUGACUGCAUGGGUGGUGGGGGAAAGCUUUUGCGGUGUGGGAUGGGCCCGCGGCCUGUCAGCUUGUUGGUGGGGUGAUGGCCUACCAAGGCGACGACGGGUAGCCGGCCUGAGAGGGUGACCGGCUAAACUGGGACUGAGAUACGGCCCAGACUCCUACGGGAGGCAGCAGCGGGGAAUAUUGCACAAUGGGCGCAAGCCUGAUGCAGCGACGCCGCGUGAGGGAUGACGGCCUUCGGGUUGUAAACCUCUUUCAGCACCGACGAAGCGCAAGUGACGGUAGGUGCAGAAGAAGGACCGGCCAACUACGUGCCAGCCGCCGCAGUAA